UGGUUUUGAUUGUUCUAGUGCUGAGAUUUUUAAUUGUAUGUUAUAGCAGUUACUUGAUUUUCUAGUACCAUGAUUCUUAGUCCCACUAAAGAUUUCUUGGUCUAAAUCUAUUACUAAUUUCUAGUACUUUAGUUUCAUUAAGCUUUCUCUUUAUCCCUACAUAUAUGCGUGCCUUACUCUCUCUCUCUCUCUAUAUAUAUAUAUAAUAUUGUAUCAUGUAUGUAUCAUCAUAAUUGUGAUUAAAUAUAUGUGUGUGCCUUAACUGUGACUAAAUAGAUAGUGAUGUCAGAUUUGGUUAGCAAUUUUUAUGUGUGUUGCGUGUCAUUUUUAAAUUAGUGUCAGCCCAUAUCAAUUUACUUAAAGACUAUUGGCUCUUGUCUUAAGAAGAUCAUGGAAGAGCCUGAGCCUUCCACUUCUUCUGCAAUAUUCAUGUGCUCUAGAUCAUGAAAUAUUGCAGAAGAAGUGGAAGGCUCGAGUUCUUCCGUGAUCUUCUUAAGACAAGAGGAGCUAGAUCAUGUACUUACCACUAAGGCAAUGGAUUUUUGAACGAGAUUUGAUAGAAUUUGUAGUUUAAUAUGUGAUGAUUGCAAUCUUACUUAGUAGUGGUACUUAUACUUGUUGAACAUGCUUUGUUUUUUUAGGCUGAAAGAGCGUUAGUUUCAGAAAAUAAGAGAACUUCACUGGUGUUGUUGCAGGUUUUGGCAUAAAGGAUUUAACCAAUUUUGAUGUUAUUGUUGUGGUACACUUUCAAAGUUAGGCUUCUACUUAGUAGAUAAAACUGCUUCAUAAAUUUGAGUGUUUCAGGAACUAGAGAGAAAGAGCACAACAACUGCUGCACUCAAGUCACUUCAACAUAAACUUGAGAAAUACAAGAUAAAGUUGAACAACUCGUAUAAGAAUACUCGAGUAUACUUAUAACUUGUUCAUGUUGCACAAAACUGAUUACAAGGACAAGAAGAAGAAAUAUAUGUUGUUUGACAAUGAAUUUAGUGUUUUAUUAUAUUUGUAAUUUUUAUUAGAGUAAAUGAUUUUUAUUUGAAUGGUUAAUUAUUUACUUUGUAAAUCUAGUUACAUAUUUUUUAAGGUCAAGACGAUUAUAAUUUUAAUAAGUUUUGUUAUUUUAA